UUUUGGAUAAAAGUCAUUGAAAAAUCUCAAUGACCAAACACAUUUAUUUAACUAUAUUUUUUUUUUAAUAAUGAAUAUAAAAAUUUCUUCCAAACCAAACAUUUUUCUGCAAAUGUUUGUGUAGAGUUAAUAUAGAUCAGAGAUGCCUAGUCCCAUUGCUCUCGUCUCUCCUUUGUUGUUGGAUUGCUCCGUCAUAUGGGUAGAGCAAAAUCAUAUACGUGUGCUGCUCCCAGCACGGGCAAGGCAAAUUACAAUAACAAUUUUGCAUAGCUUAAUACUACUUAAGUUAGAUUCAACACUUUUCGGCCUAGUGCGAAGGCAUUUUGUUGUUGGAUUCGAAAUAAAAAAUAUUUAUAUUAAAAAAUGAAAUAAUAAUUGUAUAAUAAAAGAAAUAUUUAUUAAAAUAAUUAAUUCUUUCCGUUUUCGGAUCUGUAGCGGCGACUGAAGAGUCAUUUUCAAAAUAAUAAUAAAUAAAAAAAAAAAAAACUAAAAUUGUAAACAAAUACCAUCGAUAUACAUAUCGGCUUUGUAAAUUGGACUUUUUACCGAUAGUUAAAGCGAAGCUUUUACUUUGGGAGUUGCCAAAUUGUUAAGGCGCGGGAUCAGCUGCAGCAGGGAGGCUUAGGAAAGCUGCAAUAUCAGCUGUUCUGCAUUUCCGGUAACCUAAAUGGAAUGUAGGUUGUUCCAUGCUCGGUCUUUUCUAUCGAAACCCCCCAGAAGUGCAGACGCCCAAAUAAUAUCUCUCUGCAAGUGUAAAUUUUAUCAGCGCAAGAUCAGCGCAAGUGCAAAGUGUUUAUUUUUUUUUUCUUAUCAAAUUCCGAAUUUGCAACGGAGAUAAGGGCAGCCUAAGCCUGUGUUUGUGGGUUUUUUUUCUUUUGUGUGUCGCGGCUUUAUGAAAGCGCGACCUCGUUGCGGUCUUAUCAAAAUUUAUCAGGUGAAUAUAAAAUUUAUAUUUGUAAUAACUCCAGGGUAUUUAUUGUGGCCGUUUUAAAGUUUCGUUGCGGUCCACACCAAAACACCCCGGGAGCGCUCCUGGUGGAGGCUCCCAGUUCAGGAGCGGCUUAACCUCGAUCGGGUAAUCCGUCUCCCCCCCCAUCUUCAUCACCAUCUUCAUCAUUAUCUUCAUCUCCUAAUACAUUGGUGCCGGGAAAUUAACACUCAGUGGCCGGAAAAUUAACCGUAGGGAUGGUGUAAGGGAAUUUGCAGACCCAACGAAUUCAAGACCCGUUAAGUGAAAGGCCGUUGACCCCACCAGCCAUGGAAUAAGGAGCAAAAGAGAAAUUAUUAAAACCGCUAGCCCAGCCGCCCAGCUCCAAACUCGUGGCGAUCAUUUUUUUCUCUCUUUUCUCAUCUACAUUUCAUCCCCCAAAUCACAUGCGUUAUAAAAUGUUUUAAUUUUAUUUUCUUUUUAGUCAAUAGUUUUAGUUAUAAAUUUAAAUUUAAAUUAAUUACAGGCUUUUAGUGAAGUGGAAAAAAAACGGAAUUGGAAAAUAUGAAGAUAAUAUUUAUUUUUUUUAAACUUUCGCGAACAAAAUGGUUGUCAGGUUAAUUUUAAAUCGUUUAAUUUUAAUCCUCGUGCGAAAAUAAGUUUGUUUUAAAAUUCUAUGGUGUGCAAAAGCCUCAUUACACUCAUUUACAGCAACCCAAAGCAGAGAUCGAUCUUUCGCCGAUGGAUUUACAGCUUUUAGUGAAGUGGAAAAAAAACGGAAUUGGAAAAUAUGAAGAUAAUAUUUAUUUUUUUUAAACUUUCGCGAACAAAAUGGUUGUCAGGUUAAUUUUAAAUCGUUUAAUUUUAAUCCUCGUGCGAAAAUAAGUUUGUUUUAAAAUUCUAUGGUGUGCAAAAGCCUCAUUACACUCAUUUACAGCAACCCAAAGCAGAGAUCGAUCUUUCGCCGAUGGAUUUACAGUGAGUGGUUUAUUUACCUUUUACAUAUACACUGUAAAAAAAAAUUUUUUUGAGUCCCACUGAAUUUUAAUAUUAUAUUUAAUGCAUUCCUCCUUCAUCUUAACAUAAAAAAUAUCAAGAGCACGAAUUUCAUUUAAAUGAUUUAACUGUUGACUAAUGAAUACUCUAUCCUAAUGAAUUUUAAAUAUUAUCAUUUUUCUAAUACCUUUAUUUGAAAUUUAUUUAUCCU